UACGAGGGGGGCAAGCGUUGUUCGGAUUUAUUGGGCGUAAAGGGUGCGUAGGCGGUUUGGCAAGUUUGAUGUGAAAUCUAUGGGCUCAACCCAUAGUCUGCAUCAGAAACUGCCGGGCUUGAGUAUGGGAGAGGUGAGUGGAAUUUCCGGUGUAGCGGUGAAAUGCGUAGAUAUCGGAAAGGAACACCUGUGGCGAAAGCGGCUCACUGGACCAUAACUGACGCUGAUGCACGAAAAGCUAGGGGGAGCAAACAGG
rnacentral:rRNA from 1 species